UUUAGGAGCUAUCUUCCUGACUAAAAAUCAAUGAAAACUCAAUUUCCUUCAUCUGAGUGAUUAGCCAUAGCAGUGUUGCCAAAUAUUUUACUCUUUAAAUUCCCAGGUUUAGGAGUCAGGGUCCUACCUGAGAAUUUCAGCUUCCUUUUUUUGAAGGAAGCCUUUAACCUGCACAGUGGUGGAAAAAAAAAAAAGGCUUAAAACACAGCCACUAAAAAGUAAAAGGUAAAAUGUUAAGAUUUCUUGGGAAAGUUGUGAAGAACUCCGCGGCGCAGUUCUGUAUCUCCUAUUCCAGCCCCAAAGGCACAAGAUGUUAUGCUAGAAGCUCUUUAAUGGUGGUGUUGAACAACCUUCUGCUGUUCAUCAAAGGCUGUGCUACACUGCAUUCCACUCUGAUAGCCACAUGCCUGAGAAUUUAAAAUUUGGUGGUUUGUGGUAUGGAAGGUGUGGGAUGCCUAUGUAGAUGAAAAGAGUUUAAACCUCUCGAAAUCCCACAUUAUCAUACCCUGUGGAUGAGAGAAGAUGACUCCUAAUCUUCACCAUACCCAUGAAGGUGGGGGAGCUGAGGUGUACGCUGGCAUUAAGUCAAUAAGAAAGGAUUACAAUAGGAUUGUUUUCUCACUUUAAAAGGACAUUAGAAAAUCUCACACCAAAUACUGCUGGCAGGAAAAAGCAGGUCCAGAAAUGCACACACUUUCUCUUUUCAAGCCAAGAUGUAACAGCAUAUUUCCUGAUACAGUCUCUACUCAGCACAAGUGUUAAUGUGGGAUCCCUUUCAAGAAAGUUGUUUCUGAGUCCAAUAAACAUGAAAGUGACAAUUUACUUCAUGCCAGCAGAAGAGUGCAUUGUAUAUUCUCUUAAAUGUAGACAUUGCAUAAAUUCUGGAGAACAUCAUAAUGGAAUUCUCUGUGCGCUGUUAUGAAAUGUGAGAAUAGCAAUAGUGGAGUGUUGUGCAGUGGUUAAGUGAAUGCUUAUAAAAUAAAACCCUAUGGUUACUAGCAUUACAUGCCUGUAUAUGAGCUUGCAGUUUUUAUAAGGUUUCUUGCCUGAAGUUUGUGAUAAACUGUAGCUCUGAUGCCAGUUUAGGCAUAAAUAUGAACAAUUUUAUUAAACUGUUUUCAUUGUUCCCUCCUAUUUUUUAUUUUUUUAAAAUACUAUUAUGGACUCAUGGCCACAUAGUAAUGGAAGGUCUUAAAGUUCAGUUACAUAAUGUUUGUAACACUUCUGCUGUCAUCAUAACUUUAUUAUCACAGUUGCAUACCUGUGCAGCUUUCAUUGCUGGAUUAGGGACUGCUGUGUAUCAAUACA